rnacentral:piRNA from 1 species
UCUGAGGUGUUGCCUUGAGGAACAACGUCAG